rnacentral:rRNA from 1 species
GAUGAACGCUGGCGGCGUGCCUAACACAUGCAAGUCGAGCGGCAGCGCGAUUUACACUGACCUCUGGAAGCUGCGAGUGGCGAGAGAAGAAUUAUUGAAGAAUUUUGUUUAAAAUGUCGGCGAGCGGCGGACGGCUGAGUAACGCGUGGGAACGUACCCCGAAGCGGGGGAUACCGCAUCGAAAGGUGUGUUAGUACCGCCUAUGGUCUGCGGAUUAAAGCCUUCGGGCGCUUGGGGAACGGCCUGCGUAAGAUUAGAGAGUUGGUGGGGUAAUGGCCUACCGAGUCGACGAUCCUUCACUGGGGAGAGAAGACGCGCAGUCAGACUGGACGUGAGACACGGUCCAGACUCCUACGGGAGGGAGCAGUGAGGAGUCGUACACACUGGGCGAAAGCCUGAUGGAGCAACGCCGCGUGAAGGAUGAAGGCCUUCGGGUUGUAAACUGCUUUUAUAAGUGAGGAGUAUGACAGUAACUUAUGAAUAAGGAUCGGCUAACUACGUG